rnacentral:miRNA from 3 species
GCAGGAACUUGUGAGUCUCC